UUGCAGGUUGUUGCAUAGGUUCAAAAGGACUAAUAGCUGAGUGUUGGAUGCUCCGGAAGGCCAAAAUAUGAAGAUGCAGCAGGUCAACACGGGCGCCCGUGUACAUCAACACGGCCCGUGUUGUUUGUCAGGAAGGAGCACUCAAAGAGGUAAAACAGAGGGUUAACACGGGCACCCGUUACAUCAACACGGCCCGUGUUGAUGCCUCUGUAGCUUGCUCUAAAAAU
rnacentral:lncRNA from 1 species